UACGUAGGGCGCAAGCGUUAUCCGGAAUUAUUGGGCGUAAAGAGCUCGUAGGCGGUUUGUCGCGUCUGCCGUGAAAGUCCGGGGCUCAACUCCGGAUCUGCGGUGGGUACGGGCAGACUAGAGUGAUGUAGGGGAGACUGGAAUUCCUGGUGUAGCGGUGAAAUGCGCAGAUAUCAGGAGGAACACCGAUGGCGAAGGCAGGUCUCUGGGCAUUAACUGACGCUGAGGAGCGAAAGUGUGGAGAGCGAACAGG
rnacentral:rRNA from 1 species